CCUACGGGAGGCAGCAGUGAGGAAUAUUGGUCAAUGGGCGCAAGCCUGAACCAGCCAAGUCGCGUGAGGGAUGACGGUCCUAUGGAUUGUAAACCUCUUUUGUCGGGGAGCAAGGCCCGCCACGUGUGGCGGGAAGGAGAGUACCCGAAGAAAAAGGAUCGGCUAACUCCGUCCCAGCAGGCGGGGUAGGACGGAGGAUGGGAGCGUUAUCGGGUUUUAUUGGGUUGAAGGGAUGCGUAGGCGGAAGGUUAAGUCAGUGGACAAAUGUCGGUGCUAAACACCGGCCGGCCGUUGAAACGGGUAUCCUUGAGUGAGCGAGAAGUAUGAGGAAUGCGGGGUGUAGCGGGGAAAUG
rnacentral:rRNA from 1 species